rnacentral:rRNA from 1 species
UACGGGGGGGUGCGAGCGUUGUCCGGAAUCACUGGGCGUAAAGGGCGCGUAGGUGGUCUUGUAAGUCUGUGGUGAAAGCCCGGGGCUCAACCCCGGGUCUGCCGUGGAUACUGUGAGACUUGAGUACAGACGAGGGUGGCGGAAUGGAUGCUGUAGCGGUGAAAUGCAUAGAUAGCAUCCAGAACCCCCGAUUGCGAAGGCAGCUGCCCUAG